AUUGAACGCUGGCGGCGUGCCUAACACAUGCAAGUCGAGCGGUAACAGGUGUAGCAAUACAUGCUGACGAGCGGCGAACGGGUGAGUAAUGCUUCGGAAUCUGCCCAUGUAAUGGGGAAUAACCAGCCGAAAGGUUGGCUAAUACCGCAUACGACCUACGGGUGAAAGCAGGGGAUCGCAAGACCUUGCGCUAUUGGAUGAGCCGAAGUCGGAUUGGCUGUUGGUAGGGUAACGGCCUACCAAGGCGACGAUCCGUAGCUGGUCUGAGAGGACGACCAGCCACACUGGGACUGAGACACGGCCCAGACUCCUACGGGAGGCAGCAGUGGGGAAUAUUGGACAAUGGGGGCAACCCUGAUCCAGCGACGCCGCGUGUGUGAAGAAGGCCUGCGGGUUGUAAAGCACUUUUAGU
rnacentral:rRNA from 1 species